rnacentral:rRNA from 1 species
UAGAGUUUGAUCAUGGCUCAGGACGAACGCUGGCGGCGUGCUUAACACAUGCAAGUUGAACGGGAUCCACCAUAUGAAGUUUUCGGACGGAAUGAGGUGGUGAGAGUAGCGGACGGGCGAGUAACGCGUGAGCAACCUACCCUUUGCAGGGGGAUAACAUCGGGAAACCGGUGCUAAUACCGCAUAAGACCACAGAGUCGCAUGGCUCAGUGGUCAAAACUCCGGUGGCAAAGGAUGGGCUCGCGUCCAAUUAGCUAGUUGGUAGGGUAAAGGCCUACCAAGGCGACGAUUGGUAGCCGAAUUGAGAGGUUGAUCGGCCGCAUUGGGACUGAGACACGGCCCAGACUCCUACGGGAGGCAGCAGUGGGGAAUAUUGCGCAAUGGAGGGAACUCUGACGCAGCAACGCCGCGUGAAGGAAGAAGGCUUUCGGGUUGUAAACUUCUUUGAUCGGGGACGAAAAUGACGGUACCCGAGGAACAAGCCACGGCUAACUACGUGCCAGCAGCCGCGGUAAUACGUAGGUGGCAAGCGUUGUCCGGAAUUACUGGGUGUAAAGGGCGUGUAGGCGGGGUGGCAAGUCAGAUGUGAAAUACCGCGGCUUAACUGCGGGGGUGCAUCUGAAACUGCUGUUCUUGAGUGUCGGAGAGGAAAGUGGAAUUCCCAGUGUAGCGGUGAAAUGCGUAGAGAUUGGGAGGAACACCAGUGGCGAAGGCGGCUUUCUGGACGAUAACUGACGCUGA